ensembl:lncRNA
CUCUUAUCUUUGCAACUCCUAGUAUGUGCCGUGCUUACUGUAAUCCAUCCCCGGCGUAUCCUGACUAGAAACACACGGCCUUUCCGAGAGUCGCGGCUGUCUCCUGAGACCUAUGAGAGCUAUUUUCCUAGAACAUCCACUAGAGGGUACUCAACGACCUUCCAGUGAAGGCGGUUUCCAACCCAGCGACUGCAAGAGGAGAGAGAGAGAGAGAGAAAAUGUCCCUGCCAGGUGCGUGAACAAUAGCAGCGAACAGCGCAGCGCCUGCCAGCUAUCUGAAGUCCAGCAUGUGCCACAGCCCCAAGCAGCCGGGUGGAAACAGGACAUUUCUGUUCCCGUUGGGGUUCUGGUGGGCCCGUCCCCACUGUAAGCCUGGGUUUGCUUUCCGUCUCUCUGCUCCCGCUGUCCGACCCGCAAGAGGAGAAGCUUUGGGGAGAACCCCAGUGUCGACCAGCUUGACGCUGCUGAGGUUUUAUAUGAACUGCUGGCCAGUGGGACAGUCAGUAUGGGGGUAUAAAACACCACCUCAUCAGCAAUGGCUGUUUUAUGCGUGAUGUAUUUUUACAGUACUAAUCACUCGUGACUAUUGUAAACGGGUGGCAGAUGAAUGUCCCUCGUAGGUGGGCUGGAAAAUGAAGCAAUUUUAACAUGCAUCUGAGGCACAGACAUCCAUGGAGGCUUUGUAAACCAGAAGAAUUUCCUAGUUGUGACUUUCUGUUCGUAUUGUUAUUCCAGGCUUUUAUUUCCCCAUUAAAUGCUACAAAGGGCAUGUAAAAUGCUACAAAUGGUCUCGAAAAAGCUGUCCCUGCAAAAAUAUGCCAUCCGUCUUUUGACUUCUGCUUCCAAAAAAAAAAAAUCAAUAAUAAGCAUCUUAUUUCAGGGUUGGAAGAGAAGAUUUUUACUACCCAGUGGGACAUCUGAGUUAUUGACCUUGAACGCUAAUCAGUAUGUUUGAAUGUUCUCACCAGGUUUAGAGCCAAGGCUACAAAAAAAUCUAAUUAAAUCAGCAGGGGGCACGAUUUCUUCAAAAUAUCACAGGAUUAUCAGAGCUGUGCGCUGGGUUUUCCUUCUCUUACGCAGCACAGGGCUGCUCACCAUUACCAUUUUUAAAGAUCUAAUGGGAUUUUUCUCAGUUUGCCUGUUCAGUCCAAUGCCUUGAACUCAGGUGUUGCUUUAGGGCCUGCUGUGGGAUUCUGGACAGCCUUUUGGGGACACUGAUUUGCAGCACGCAGAAGAAGUCCAUGGUCAUGGCUGCCCGUGGCAGUGAGCCCUGGCACCACCACCAAAGGUCCUGGUGCAGGAUGGGAAGAUUGCCAGCACCCCAAAAUCUUUUUUAGUGAUAAGAGAGAGGCAAAAGAAGAGUUUAGUAAUAAGAGAGAGGCUGGCAUGAAACAUAUAAGAGAACAGGUGCCUCUUUAUUCAGGAAAAGGCCUCAGGCCUGUAGUGAGGAGGCAAGAGAACAUUUUGGGUCAGUACCCUUCCACCUGAGACUAAAUAUGGCUUUCUCUCUUGUACCUUUUGGUCCUGAUUCAUCUUGAAAGUUUGUCUUUAAAUCCUCCCGUAGCUUCUCUGAAAAGACUUUUCUUUUUUCCACGUUUAGCUUGUUCCAAGUUAUGUCCCAUCACAAAUGCCCUUCUUAAAUACACCUGCAGAUUGGGUUCAAAAAUAAAGAAUUAAAGAAAGUUAUGUUCAAGGGUAACUGCAGAUAAAAGGAAUUUACCCCAUUUCAGUUUCUGAUAAUGCAGCAUUCCCAGUUCUCUAAUACAACUGGAUGAACUUGCCCUUCCUUCACCACUUACACCCCUGUCUGCUUUGCAUGGUUUUCACCUAUAGAACAGGUAGCACAAAAGCAGCGUAUGUGCUGAAGGUGUGCCCUGAUGUGGGGAGCAGUCAGGUCUGAGUGCCCACAGGGCUCUGGAGCCAUGACAAAAGAAGGGGAAGUUUCUUUAGUAUUUUCAAUGUGCUACCUUAAGUACGUGAACUAAAGGCUCAGGUCAUUUCCAUUUUUAUAAGCUCCACCACAGGUUCUCGGAAAGUUCAAGUUCUCCUUCUGUCUUUGAUCAUUAGAGAAGAGGAUUUUGUCCUUGGAAUCAAUGACAGCAUGUAGAUGUGGGGGCUGGACUGACUGUUUGCUUUGUCUCGCUAUAAAAUGUUACAAGUAAGGCAGAACUGAGUCUGAUGACAACGUGACGUUCCAGUUUCCACUGAGAUGACACCAGCUGCACUCGAAAUCAGACUUCCCAGAAGAUGAAGUACUUUAGCUUUACUGGUUCCCAAGGGAGUCUGCAGGUGUGGAUUAAGGGCCACCCACCUUUCUCUGUUCAUCUCAGUAAAUCAUGCACCCUGAAGUGGUUGCAUGUUACUAUGGCUGUCAGUUGCUGGAAAAAACUUAGCAGUGCAUUUAAAAAGAGCUAUUAAAAGCCGAGGAAAAAAAAAGAAAAAAGUUUCAUUAUAAAAAAAUCAAACACACAAAAACAAAAUAUUUAAUACAUAAAUAGAAUAGAAUGAUUAUUUUCCACGAGGAAUAUUUUCCAAGCAUAUUUAAUGAAAAGGCAUAGGUGAUGGGAGCCAGACUGCAAAAUUCUCUUUCUGCUCUGGACCCGGCCCCCUCCAUGUACACACACAUCUCCUGCACCCACACACGCCCAGGAUGUCCUUGGUGUGGACGUGCAGAUCUCUGUGUCUCCUGCCCACAUCAAGAGCAUCAAACCAGACAGAGGGGGACUUAUGCCCACCUACAGUCCCUCUGACACCUCCUUGUAGGCAGAUUGACUAGAGCCUAACUUCUCUUCCAAGGAUAACCAUAAGCGGUUUGGGUACUGAGAUCAGGAGCUCAGGUGGGUCUAGGGUUUGAACAUAUAGGGGUUAAAUAAGCUAGCUUUAGAAAGUGGGGAAGGAGAACGGCAUCUCAACAUUUCAUGGUCAGCUGUGCAAACACAAAGAAAGGAACAAUACAAAAUGAAUGGGUUUGACCGGUUUGAAUGCACCGUAAGAAGGUCAGACCGAGGAAGACGUCGAGCCUUUGCGAGGAAGACUUCUGACUUCAUCCCGACAACCACCAGAGGGAGACCCCUACUACGGACAAUGCAUGUGCCAGGGGAGGGGCAGUAUGUAAAUGAAUUUUCGGAGGGAUAAUGAAUAUGUAGAUGAGUUCCAAUAAUCCUGCUGAAUAUGUAUGGACUUGGCUUACAAAUUUGUAGUGUUUUUGCUUGCUGGUGUGCAAGUUUGGUGGAGUGAUCCUCCUUGCACCCGGCCGGCCGAAUAAACAUACCUGCUUUAUAACCUAACUGGGUUAUAGAGUUUGAUUCCACACAUCAAUACCUCCACCCUGGGGUGCAACUUAGAAGGCUUUUCCCUGUGUUCCCUUGUUUUCUGCCCAUUUUCUGAAGCCCAUCAAUUUUUGUUUCAUAUGGUUUAAGACAGAGUGGCUAAAAAUGUCCCAAACAUUCAAAAUGCAUGAAGACCACUGAUUUAAGUGGAAUUAUCC